AAUAUUUGACAAUAGUCACGUAUUAAUUCGGUAAAAUAUAAAAAAAAUUAGAAUGAUUUAUGUCAGUCCACAUAAUGUGAGAAAUAAAUCUAACAAUCUCCCACUUGGACGGCAGAAAUCACUCUAAGGAUAAAUUUAAAAAUAAAAUAAGAUUUUGAAAACAACCGAAUUAAUCAAUAUGUGACUAUAACAAAAGGUCAAAUGCAAGCAAUCACCCAAAACAUAAAUAAGUCCAAAAUGUGCCCAUAAAUAUCAAGUCAUAUGUGCACCGACAUGAUGCUCCACAUAA
rnacentral:lncRNA from 1 species